AUUGUGCCAGCAGCCGCGCGGUAAUACGAAGGGGGCGAGCGUUGUUCGGAAUCAUUGGGCGUAAAGGGCGCGUAGGCGGACUUAUAAGUCGAUUGUGAAAUCCCUGGGCUUAACCCGGGAAUUGCAGUCGAAACUGCAAGUCUUGAGUUCUCGAGAGGAUGGUGGAAUUCCUGGAGUAGUAGUGAAAUACGUAGAUAUCAGGAGGAACACCGGAGGCGAAGGCGGCCAUCUGGCGAGACACUGACGCUAAGGCGCGAAAGCGUGGGUAGCAAACAGGAUUAGAUACCCUGGUAGUCCACGCCUUAAACGAUGAAUACUAGAUGUUCGGAGAGUUAACCCUCUGAGUAUCGAAGCUAACGCAUUAAGUAUUCCGCCUGGGAAGUACGGCCGCAAGGUUGAAACUCAAAGGAAUUGACGGGGGCCCGCACAAGCGGUGGAGUAUGUGGUUUAAUUCGAAGCAACGCGCAGAACCUUACCUGGUCUUGACAUCCCUUGACGACUGCAGAGAUGUAGUUUCCUCUUCGGAGGCAAGGAGACAGGUGCUGCAUGGCUGUCGUCAGCUCGUGUCGUAGGAUGUUGGGUUAAGUCCCGCAACGAGCGCAACCCCUGCUUCUAGUUGCGACCAUUAAGUUGAGCACUCUAGAGGGACUGCCGGUGUUAAACCGGAGGAAGGCGGGGACGACGUCAAGUCCUCAUGGCCCUUACGACCAGGGCUACACACGUACUACAAUGGUGGAAACAAAGCGCCGCAAAACCGCGAGGUGAAGCGAAUCGCAAAAACACCAUCACAGUCCGGAUUGGAGUCUGCAACUCGACUCCAUGAAGUUGGAAUCGCUAGUAAUCGCAGAUCAGCACGCUGCGGUGAAUACGUUCCCGGGCCUUGCACACACCGCCCGUCAAAUCGUACCACUAUCGCUGCAGCACAUCCCCUUUCGCAGCUGCGUAUAGCGAAGAGCCCGCACGAUCGGCCUCCACAGUGCGCAGCUGAUGGCGAUUGCGCUGAUGCGUAUUUUUCCUCCUUACGCAUCUGUGCGGAAUUCCACACCGCUAAUGUGCACCUUCCGAUACAUUCGACUUGAAUGCGCCUAGUUAGAUCAGGCCCCGGAAAACACGGGCA
rnacentral:rRNA from 1 species